rnacentral:rRNA from 1 species
AUUGAACGCUGGCGGCAGGCCUAACACAUGCAAGUCGAGCGGAUGAAGAGAGCUUGCUCUCUGAUUUAGCGGCGGACGGGUGAGUAAUGCCUAGGAAUCUGCCUGGUAGUGGGGGAUAACGUUCCGAAAGGAACGCUAAUACCGCAUACGUCCUACGGGAGAAAGCAGGGGACCUUCGGGCCUUGCGCUAUCAGAUGAGCCUAGGUCGGAUUAGCUAGUUGGUGAGGUAAUGGCCCACCAAGGCGACGAUCCGUAACUGGUCUGAGAGGAUGAUCAGUCACACUGGAACUGAGACACGGUCCAGACUCCUACGGGAGGCAGCAGUGGGGAAUAUUGGACAAUGGGCGAAAGCCUGAUCCAGCCAUGCCGCGUGUGUGAAGAAGGUCUUCGGAUUGUAAAGCACUUUAAGUUGGGAGGAGGGGCAGUAGUUAAUACCUUGCUGUUUUGACGUUACCGACAGAAUAAGCACCGGCUAACUUCGUGCCAGCAGCCGCCGUAAUAC